GCCGGGCAUGGUGGCGCGUGCCUGUGAUCCCAAUUACUUGGGAGGUUGAGAUAGGAGAAUCACUUGAACCUGGGAGGCAGAGGUUGCAAUGAGCUAAGAUUGCACCAUUGCACUCCAGCCUGGGCAAUAAGAGCAAAACUCCAUCUCAAAGAAAAAAAAAGAAAAUUGAGGCUGCAGUGAGUUGUGAGUGUCACUGCAUUCCAGCCUAGGUGACAGAGGGAGACCUUGUCUCA
rnacentral:sRNA from 1 species